rnacentral:pre_miRNA from 11 species
UUGCUUCUGGUGAUUGAUAAGAAUUCUUUACUAAGUACUAGUGCCGCAGGAGAGAUUUGAACCCCUGCUGCCCAAGUGCUUAUCGAAGAGUUCCCCUCGUACAUCGUUGGAACCA